UUGAAAUACUGUUUCACAUACAAUCACUGAAGUUAAGCAAAUUUGAGCCUAGUCAGUAGCUAGAUGGGUUACCACUUGGGAAUACCAGGUGCUGUAA